rnacentral:rRNA from 1 species
AUGAACGCUGGCGGCGUGCCUAAUACAUGCAAGUCGCGCGAACGGACGAGAAGCUUGCUUCUCUGAUGUUAGCGGCGGACGGGUGAGUAACACGUGGAUAACCUACCUAUAAGACUGGGAUAACUUCGGGAAACCGGAGCUAAUACCGGAUGAUAUUUUGAACCGCAUGGUUCAAAAGUGAAAGACGGUCUUGCUGUCACUUAUAGAUGGAUCCGCGCUGCAUUAGCUAGUUGGUAAGGUAACGGCUUACCAAGGCAACGAUGCAUAUCCGACCUGAGAGGGUGAUCGGCCACACUGGAACUGAGACACGGUCCAGACUCCUACGGGAGGCAGCAGUAGGGAAUCUUCCGCAAUGGGCGAAAGCCUGACGGAGCAACGCCGCGUGAGUGAUGAAGGUCUUCGGAUCGUAAAACUCUGUUAUUAGGGAAGAACAUAUGUGUAAGUAACUGUGCACAUCUUGACGGUACCUAAUCAGAAAGCCACGGCUAACUACGUG